UCAUUGCAUAAGCUGUUUCAAUAUGCGCAUGGAGAAGAUUAUGUUCAAGAUGUUAGUUCGUUUGCAUUUCAAUGGUUGGAAGACAUGCCACGCCAAGACAACAGCUAUGAUUGUGGUCUUUUCAUCAUCAAAUAUAUGCAAGGGAAACCUUUGCCUUCGGGUGUAAUCAAGUUUGACUAUUUGCAUAGGGCUCGCUUGUUACAUGAUCUUGUGAUAUACAAGCAUAAUUCAGCUGAUAUUGUUGCUGAUAUCGUGCAAUAUAAAGCUG